rnacentral:misc_RNA from 1 species
GAGACAUAUUAUUUGACCAUUUGAGUUAGAAUUUCAAAAUUCUAUAAUGCGUUUGCAAUUGGUUGUUUUUGCGAUCACUGCCUUGGCAGUUGGUGCAUUCGGUCACGGCCAUCAUGGCAAGUUCAGGCAGGCAUUUCAUCAUUGCGCAAAUACUACUGAAGUUGAUGGUGAAGUUUUAAAAGCAUGGGUCAACAGACAACCUGUCGAUGAUGACAGAUUGAAAUGCUUCUUGGCUUGUGUAAUGAAGGCAGUUGGUACAAUGAAUGAAGAUGGUCAAAUUAUUCCUGAGAAAAUCAUCGCGCAAAUUUCGAUGCACACACACGACCGUGAAACUAAAGUUGAAUCUAUCGAAAUUUGCAGCAUUAAAAGAGGAAAAGAUGAUUGUGAAACAGCUUUCUUGGUUGCAACAUGUUUACGCCGUCAUCAUGUAUUUGACCGUCCUCAUCAUAGUCAAUCGUGGAAAAAUUUCCAAAAAUGUAAAAUCGAAACAAAGGUCGAUUCUGAACUUUUGAGAGCAGAACGUCGAGGUGAAGAUGUCGAUGAUCCUCAAGUAAAAUGCUUCUAUGCAUGCAUGAUGAAGAGAUUGAAUAUUAUGAAUGAUGAAGGUAAAGUCAAUGUUAUGAAACUCAUCAACCACGUCAACAUUCCUGAAGAUGAUGUACACCGUGUACAAAAAAUUGAAAUGUUCAGCACGUGUGCCAAAAAAAGUAAAGGGAACUGAUGAAUGCGAUACUGCUUACCGUAUUCGCAGAUGUAUCUACAAAGGUCUUACUAAAAUGUUCAAAUCUAAUGUCCUUCCUACAACCACAACUGAAGCUCCAAUGCGAGUUCCAAUGGC